AUUGAACGCUGGCGGCAGGCCUAACACAUGCAAGUCGAGCGCAGCGGCGGACGGGCGAGUAAUGCCUAGGAAUCUGCCUGGUAGUAGGGUAUAAAUCCCGGAAACGGGCGCUAAUUCCGCAUACUAUCACACCACUCUCGGUCGGAUUAGCUAGUUGGUGGGGUAAAGGCUUACCAAGGCGACGAUCCGUCACUGGCCUGAGAGCAUGAUCAGUCACACUGGGACUGAGACACGGUCCAGACUCCUACGGGAGGCAGCAGUGGGGAAUAUUGGACAAUGGGCGAAAGCCUGAUCCAGCCAUGCCGCGUGUGUGAAGAAGGUCUUCGGAUUGUAAAGCACUUUAAGUUGGGAGGCGUUACCAACAGAAUAAGCACCGGCUAACUUCGUGCCAGCAGCCGCGGUAAUUC
rnacentral:rRNA from 1 species